GACGAACGCUGGCGGCGUGCUUAACACAUGCAAGUCGAACGCUGAAGCUCAGCUUUUGUUGGGUGGAUGAGUGGCGAACGGGUGAGUAACACGUGAGUAACCUGCCCUCUUCUUUGGGAUAACGCCCGGAAACGGGUGCUAAUACUGGAUAUUCACUGAUCUUCGCAUGGGGGUUGGUGGAAAGGUUUGUUCUGGUGGGGGAUGGGCUCGCGGCCUAUCAGCUUGUUGGUGGGGUGAUGGCCUACCAAGGCUUUGACGGGUAGCCGGCCUGAGAGGGUGACCGGUCACAUUGGGACUGAGAUACGGCCCAGACUCCUACGGGAGGCAGCAGUGGGGAAUAUUGCACAAUGGGCGAAAGCCUGAUGCAGCGACGCCGCGUGAGGGAUGGAGGCCUUCGGGUUGUAAACCUCUUUCGCUCAUGGUCAAGCCGCGACGUGGGUUGUGGUGAGGGUAGUGGGUAAAGAA
rnacentral:rRNA from 1 species